rnacentral:lncRNA from 1 species
GGACAAAUGGACUUGGGGUAGGAGAGAGGGACAACAGUGGGAGCAGGCAGAUCUUGCUGUUUCAACCAAAACCUUGUGCUGACCAGAGUUGAGGAACAGAAGAAGAUGGUGAAGUCCUGCAGUUACAGGUGUUCAGCAUGUCAUCUGAAAUAUUCCCCACAGAGGCAAAAAGAAAGGAAAUUAUCUCUGAAAAGUAACAGGAAGACAAGUCAGCAGAAUAUGUCAAUGUUUUGGUUGAAGAAGCUGCUUGAUUCUGGGCUUUUCUGUGCCAUGUGUUCUCCCACGGCCAGCACAAAGAAGGGCUUUUGGUGCAGGCCCAAGACCACCAUAAUCAUCAUUGAUUAUUCCUCUCCAUGCCGGUGUCUCUAAAUAAACUUUCUCUUCUUUCUCUGA